rnacentral:rRNA from 1 species
GGAACUAUGCCUCUUCCAUCAUCCCUUCCUCCUCACCCUGAGCAUGCCAGAUCCUACCUGAUUUGAGAAGCUAAGCACAGUCCAGCCCGGUUAGUACCCAGAUGGGAGACCCCAAGAGAAAACGAGGAUCC